GACGAACGCUGGCGGCGUGCCUAAUACAUGCAAGUAGAACGCUGAAGGAGGAGCUUGCUUCUCUGGAUGAGUUGCGAACGGGUGAGUAACGCGUAGGUAACCUGCCUGGUAGCGGGGGAUAACUAUUGGAAACGAUAGCUAAUACCACAUAAGAGUAGAUGUUGCAUGACAUUUACUUAAAAGGUGCAAUUGCAUCACUACCAGAUGGACCUGCGUUGUAUUAGCUAGUUGGUGAGGUAACGGCUCACCAAGGCAACGAUACAUAGCCGACCUGAGAGGGUGAUCGGCCACACUGGGACUGAGACACGGCCCAGACUCCUACGGGAGGCAGCAGUAGGGAAUCUUCGGCAAUGGACGGAAGUCUGACCGAGCAACGCCGCGUGAGUGAAGAAGGUUUUCGGAUCGUAAAGCUCUGUUGUAAGAGAAGAACGAGUGUGAGAGUGGAAAGUUCACACUGUGACGGUAUCUUACCAGAAAGGGACGGCUAACUACGUG
rnacentral:rRNA from 1 species